rnacentral:snoRNA from 2 species
AAGAGAAUAAAUAGCGUGACCAUAAAUACAGAAAACACACAAAGACUCUUCAGCUGCAAACAACAGCUUCCUUGGUAGUGUAUGCAGCCUGUUUCUUGUAUGGGCUGCUCUAAGACAGGCCAUUCAGAUGUUU